rnacentral:rRNA from 1 species
CGGCAGGCCUAACACAUGCAAGUCGAACGGUAACAGGAAGCAGCUUGCUGCUUCGCUGACGAGUGGCGGACGGGUGAGUAAUGUCUGGGAAACUGCCUGAUGAGGGGGAUAACUACUGGAAACGGUAGCUAAUACCGCAUAACGUCGCAAAGACCAAAGAGGGGGACCUUCGGGCCUCUUGCCAUCAGAUGUGCCCAGGAUGGGAUUAGCUUGUUGGUGGGGUAACGGCUCACCAAGGCGACGAUCCCUAGCUGGUCUGAGAGGAUGACCAGCCACACUGGAACUGAGACACGGUCCAGACUCCUACGGGAGGCAGCAGUGGGGAAUAUUGCACAAUGGGCGCAAGCCUGAUGCAGCCAUGCCGCGUGUAAUGAAGAAGGCCUUCGGGUUGUAAAGUACUUUCAGCGGGGAGGAAGGUGUUGUGGUUAAUAACCGCAGCAAUUGACGUUACCCGCAGAAGAAGCACCGGCUAACUCCGUGCCAGCAGCUGC